GCGCCCGUAGCUCAGAGGACAGAGCGGCUGCCUUCUAAGCAGCGAGUCGGGGGUUCGAAUCCCUCCGGGCGCGCCA
rnacentral:tRNA from 1 species